rnacentral:rRNA from 1 species
UACGAAGGGUGCAAACGUUGCUCGGAAUUAUUGGGCGUAAAGCGCACGUAGGCGGCUUAGCAAGUCGGAAGUGAAAUCCCUCGGCUCAACCAAGGAAGUGCUUUCGAAACUGCUGAGCUUGAGUACUUAAGAGGAUCGCGGAAUUCCCGGUGUAGAGGUGAAAUUCGUAGAUAUUCGGAAGAACACCAGUGGCGAAGGCGACUCACUGGACACGUAUUGACGCUGAGGUGCGAAAGCGUGGGGAGCAAACAGG